rnacentral:rRNA from 1 species
CCUACGGGAGGCAGCAGUGGGGAAUCUUGCACAAUGGAGGAAACUCUGAUGCAGCGAUGCCGCGUGAGUGAAGAAGGCCUUUGGGUUGUAAAGCUCUUUCGUCGGGGAAGAAAAUGACUGUACCCGAAUAAGAAGGUCCGGCUAACUUCGUGCCAGCAGCCGCGGUAAUACGAAGGGACCUAGCGUAGUUCGGAAUUACUGGGCUUAAAGAGUUCGUAGGUGGUUGAAAAAGUUAGUGGUGAAAUCCCAGAGCUUAACUCUGGAACUGCCAUUAAAACUUUUCAGCUAGAGUAUGAUAGAGGAAAGCAGAGUUUCUAGUGUAGAGGUGAAAUUCGUAGAUAUUAGAAAGAAUACCAAUUGCGAAGGCAGCUUUCUGGAUCAUUACUGACACUGAGGAACGAAAGCAUGGGGAGCGAAGAGGAUUAGAUACCCUCGUAGUCCAUGCCGUAAACGAUGUGUGUUAGACGUUGGA